AGCUCUUUUACAGUGACUGGAGAGUUACAAAUUGUAAUUUCGUGUAACUCCCUCACUGAUUAUUCUCCACCGUUGAUUUCAGCCUAUUAAUUAAAAAAUUAAGUUUAAUCAAUAAGGGUAUUAUGGUCAUGUGUGAUUUCUUUAGUACUCCGCUGGUCAAACCCACGCAUCUGGCUAAUCCAUCUCACCAGAGACGCCGAUGCGAGGACCUCGGAGACGGCGGCGCACCAAUGAGGACCUUGGCCACGAUGCCGGCGAAGACGUAGCGCGAGAUCCAGGAGGCAAAGCCCCGGCUGGUCUUGGUCGUAGUGGCCUCUCCCGCACAUACGUCCCUGCUGACGCCGCCGUGAGGUUCUGGAUGGGACGACGCCGGUGCGAGGUAUUGGAGGUCCCGGCUGCGCUUGGUCGUAAUGGAGGACGAACAGAGGUUUAUUCUCUGUCUUGGGUGGUCAUUGUAGUAGUAGUGUGUAUUGGACAGCCUUCAGGCACCGUCGUUUACCUCUGGCUCUGAGUCGCCGGCCAGCCGCCAUCAUCUACCUCUCGUCUCGUUGGAUCCCGACAGCUGCCAUCGUCUACCUCCCGCCUCGCCGGACAGAGCGGUCGUCUAACUCUGUCUCACCGGGAAGCCACCGCCAUGUACCUCUGCCUCGUAGUUAAUCGUGUGCUAGCAAUUCCUCCGAAGAACUUGUUAGGUCAUUCUAACUCUGUCAUGUAUCCAUGAUGUUGUUUUCUAAAUAUGUAAUUUUUUUAGUGAUUUUCAUUUUAUAUUUUAUUUUUCAUGGAGCUUCCAUGAUUUAUUUCAUUUUCUGGUAUAUAUAUUCGAAGAUCAUGUGAUGCAGGCGAUGGGUCCGUUGGCAAUUCAAUAUGCGAGUAUGUCGCUGCCAACUCGAGAGGUGUGUUCACAGGAUGAUUCAUAUCAUGGUUGAACAUGCACAAUCUUGCCUGCUAAAUCUAGAUAACCAUAAGCUAUUUAUUCCAAAUGAAUGCUUAUUUUGACCUUACUAGCCUCACGAGUCACGACUGAUUCCAAAUUUGUUUGUGAGGUUGUAUGCCAAGGAUAUUAGAUCAUAGACAUUUGCUAUUUUUAUGUUUUGUAUCCUGCCUCUCCACUGUAUCAUGUAUCAUGUAUUCCGUAUCAUGUAGGUAACUUGUUCUAUAUCAACAAAAGUUACUUGCUAUAAAAUAGACUGUAUAUAUCAUGUAUAUAGUUUCUUAUACCCUAAACUAAAAUUAUGUGGUUCUCUAUAUGUAGGAUCUUGUUCCUUGUGUUCUUCUGUCAUUUGACAAUGAGCAGAUAUUAAUCUACAGAGGCAGUGACUGGUACUCUAGAUACUCAGCCUCCGACUCUCACUCCAAAAGUUCAAAAGAAUAAUCUGGCAGCGUCAUCUGCUUUGAGUAGCUAAGGCAUCAUCUAAUGUUCACAAUGAGCCAUACACAAGGCAGCAGUAAAUGGGAAAACAUGUAUGCUUACAUCAAUACCACAGUGCAAUUUUUGGUUUAAAAAAACUGCAAUUCAGGAUGGGUGAUUAGAAGAGCUGGAAGGGAAGGCGCAAGAACAUGAUAAGGUUGUUGCACAAGAAGAGAAGAUAAAGGAGAUCAAGAUUGUUGUAGAGAAGAUUAUCUGUUUUAACUUGUGGCCAUUAAAAGCUGUAGAGAAGAUGAUGCAUUUAUAUUAGAUUCAAGUGAGAUUAUUCAGAUUUGCAGAAAUAGUGCAGAGGAUCGUGUAACGCUAAAUUAUCCGUGUUGUUGCUGCUUAUCCUUGAAGAAGCUUGUGGUUAAGAAUUGGACUCGGCUCCAAGGAGGCAACCUUUUCUUUGUUUUGUUAUCAUUUGAUUAUUUCACUAUAUAUUUUGUUCA